rnacentral:rRNA from 1 species
UAGUGAUCCGGUGGUUCUGAAUGGAAGGGCCAUCGCUCAACGGAUAAAAGGUACUCCGGGGAUAACAGGCUGAUACCGCCCAAGAGUUCAUAUCGACGGCGGUGUUUGGCACCUCGAUGUCGGCUCAUCACAUCCUGGGGCUGAAGUAGGUCCCAAGGGUAUGGCUGUUCGCCAUUUAAAGUGGUACGCGAGCUGGGUUUAGAACGUCGUGAGACAGUUCGGUCCCUAUCUGCCGUGGGCGCUGGAGAAUUGAGGGGGGCUGCUCCUAGUACGAGAGGACCGGAGUGGACGCAUCACUGGUGUUCGGGUUGUCAUGCCAAUGGCAUUGCCCGGUAGCUAAAUGCGGAAGAGAUAAGUGCUGAAAGCAUCUAAGCACGAAACUUGCCCCGAGAUGAGUUCUCCCUGAGACUUUAAGUCUCCUGAAGGAACGUUGAAGACGACGACGUUGAUAGGUCGGGUGUGUAAGUGUAGCGAUACAUUGAGCUAACCGAUACUAAUGAACCGUGAGGCUUAACCUUACAACGCCGAAG